rnacentral:RNase_P_RNA from 1 species
CAAGUGAGCCGGGCAAUCGCGGUCCUGAGCGUGUCGAAGGAUCGAGGAAAGUCCGCUCUCCACAGAGCGCGGUGCCGGGUAACACCCGGAGCGGGGUAACCUGCUGGAAGAGGGCCACAGAGAAGCGUAUUACCCCCUCCCUGCCCUCCCCCAUUGCGAACUUCAGCAAUGGGUGAGGGUAAGUGCGGGGGUGAGGGUGAAACGGCGCUGUAAGAGCGCACCGGCGUCCGCUGCAAGGCGGGCGGCCAGGCAUCCCCCACCGGGAGCAAGGUCAAGCAGGUGCGAGAUGCUGCUCGCAUCGUUUGAGCCUCGGGUAGACUGCACGAGCCGGUCAGCUAAGAUCGGACUAGAGAUAUGAUUGCCGCCUCGUGGGAUCG